ensembl:lncRNA
AUGUUGAAGCGUGCUCUGAGUGAAAUUGGGGAGAUAUGUGAGCCAGGAGAGGAAGAUAAACAGUCUCAUCAUAGCGACAGCAUCAUGGAGUGUGUCAUAAGUAUGUCAAGUUCAUGCCAUUCCAGACCUCAUGCACACUCAUUACCCCCCUUCUCUACACCUGUACAGCACUCUAUCCAGCAAGAUGCUCUGAUCAGCGACAAUGCCAGUCAUAGCCAGCAACACCACAGAAACACCCAGUUCACAGAAUCAGUCUGUAAAGAUGAACUGAAGCAAACCGAUAUGACCACUGAGAGACUCAAUGUUCAGAAAACGGAUCUUAAAUACCACCAGGCAGUGUGUAGAAAAGCUCCUUCUGUUCACAGAUCCUGCACCAAGUCACCUUGCUCUCGAUUCUCCGGAACUAAACUCCAACACACAGCCAGAAAAGAGAUACAUUCCGGUAAGACAGCAAUCAGUGACCGAGUGCGCACACACACACAAACUGGCAUAUACUGCAUGGUUUACAGGGACUCUUCUGUAAGAUAA